UGGGGAAUCUUAGACAAUGGGGGAAACCCUGAUCUAGCCAUGCCGCGUGAGCGAUGAAGGCCUUAGGGUUGUAAAGCUCUUUCAGCGGGGAAGAUAAUGACUGUACCCGCAGAAGAAGCCCCGGCUAACUCCGUGCCAGCAGCCGCGGUAAUACGGAGGGGGCUAGCGUUGUUCGGAAUUACUGGGCGUAAAGCGCACGUAGGCGGACUGGAAAGUCAGAGGUGAAAUCCCAGGGCUCAACCUUGGAACUGCCUUUGAAACUCCCAGUCUUGAGGUCGAGAGAGGUGAGUGGAAUUCCGAGUGUAGAGGUGAAAUUCGUAGAUAUUCGGAGGAACACCAGUGGCGAAGGCGGCUCACUGGCUCGAUACUGACGCUGAGGUGCGAAAGCGUGGGGAGCAAACA
rnacentral:rRNA from 1 species